rnacentral:rRNA from 1 species
AUUGAACGCUGGCGGCAGGCCUAACACAUGCAAGUCGAACGAGUGGCGGACGGGUGAGUAAUGUCUGGGAAACUGCCUGAUGGAGGGGGAUAACUACUGGAAACGGUAGCUAAUACCGAAUACCAUCGGCUGUGACCAGAUGGGAUUAGCUAGUAGGUGGGGUAACGGCUCACCUAGGCGACGAUCCCUAGCUGGUCUGAGAGAAUGACCGGCCACACUGGAACUGAGACACGGUCCAGACUCCUACGGGAGGCAGCAGUGGGGAAUAUUGCACAAUGGGCGCAAGCCUGAUGCAGCAAUGCCGCGUGUGUGAAGAAGGCUUUCGGGUUGUAAAGUACUUUCGGCGGGGAAGCGUUACCCGAAGAGAAAGCACCGGCUAACUCCGUGCCAGCAGCCGCGGUAAUAC